AUCACCUGGGGAUCUUGUUAAAAUGCAGAUUCUCAUUCAGGAAGGCUGGGGUAGGGCCUCUGCAUUUCUAACCAGCUUCCAGGUGAUGCUUG
rnacentral:pre_miRNA from 1 species